rnacentral:rRNA from 1 species
UACGUAGGGGGCAAGCGUUAUCCAGAUUUACUGGGCGUAAAGCGCGUGUAGGCGGCUGGUUAGGCGUGAUGUGAAAUCUUCCGGCUCAACCGGAAAACUGCAUUGCGAACCGGCCUGGCUAGAGUGCAGGAGAGGGAAGCGGAAUUCCAGGUGUAGCGGUGAAAUGCGUAGAUAUCUGGAGGAACACCGGUGGCGAAGGCGGCAUCCUGGACCAUUACUGACACUGAAAAGCGAAAGCCAGGGGAGCAAACGGG